ensembl:lncRNA
UAUAAUCAACUGUUUAUUGCAUCCAGAGGGAAAGGAUUUGCAUGAGGGGCAUAGCCUCUGCAUUCAGACCAGAAUAGGAGGAAGUUUAUUGGGUACACUACUGGGGCGGUGGGCACAAUCAGCUACUGGAGUAGCCAUUUAAAAAAAGGACCUGAUCAUGGCAGGGUGGUGAUUUACUAAUUUUACAGAAUGUAUUAAUUCAUGUUGGGUGAAUGAAAACAGACUAGAUCCGUGGGUGUAGGAUUUGUGAUGUCAGUGAAGCCCAUGAGUAUUCAAAUAGCACUUAGGUUACUGUCCUGGGGAGAUAUGUGCAGUCAGCAUUGACAUAGAGAAGUCAACUCAGAAAUGUGAAACACAGGCCUUCAUUGCCCGUAGUUGUUUGUGGCAAGUUCCAGGUCCCAGCAGGCAACACUCCAGAUAGAGACAAGGUCAAACGGUAUUUGAUAAAUGCUUUUCCAGGAAAAGGGCUGCUCUUUUUCUAAGUCAGAAUGCCUAUGUGUUUUUCAAUUCUAUUUAUGUUUGUAAAAAGUCCUCCAUUGGUUCCCUUUAAUGCAGCACUGCUCUGAACUCUUACUUGUUUGCAUUCUGUGAUGUGUCCCAGGCACAAGAAUUUCUUUCCCUUUUUUACAAGUUCUGCUUAGGACAAGGUCUGCUGAAGCCCAGGCUGAGUCAUGCUACGUAAUAGAGAAUUGCUUUGAACCUUUAGUCCUGUCUCUAAGGCCACAUGAUGGGAGGACAGUCCUGCAUCUCUUCUAGGCUUGGCUCUGAAGGUGAAAGUUUUCCUGUAUUGGCAGUACUUGACAUUAGCAAUGAGUAGUGACGUCAUCAAUUUCCCUUGGUCGAUAAUCACCCUGACUGACCAUUACUCUGGACCACAGGCCAGGCAAUGAAGAAUCUGGAAAGUGUAUUGCCAGGGCGUUAAGUUUGGAAUCGAUGUGUGGGGAGGGAGCAUCGUCAUAGAAGCAAGGGUAGGGGGCGGGGGUAUAGGAGAGGGGGAAAAGGAGAUAACAUUUGAAAUGUAAAUACAUAAAAUAUCUAAGAAAAUAAAUAAAGUAGAAACAAAUGUAAAGAAAGAAGAAUAUGGACAAAGACCUGAACUUACUGUGAACUGUUGUUGACACUAAUGCAGCUAGUUCAAAUUACUCUAGUUACAAGAGUUCAGUUCCCUAAAACCAAACAGAUGGGCACUCUGAGGGAUUGUUAUUAUUUGCAAUAUUCAAGAUGGGAAAUCUCUUCUUUAAUCUGGAGGUAUUGAUUGACAAGAAAAAAUUAGUCUAGGCCAUAGCUUGUGGUGGGCGCUUCCAUGUAUAAAGGAUAUUGAAGUUGGUAGUUCUUUCUCUUCUUGCCAUACACUGGCUAGAAAGAUCAUUUUUUUUCUGGCAUUAGCAUCUCCUUCUCUUUAAUUCUGGCAUAUGGUAAAGACGAGCUGAGACACACAGCUACUGCUGUAUUCUUCAAAUUUCCAUUGGUAUACAGUUUUUGUUUUACUAGUUGGACCACAUUCUGCGAGCCAUUCUUAUAUAUCCACUCCAUGCACACAUAGACAUUUCCAUUGUAUUAGUUCUGUUCAUCUGGAAAACCUUUACUAACACAGAUAUGAUGUUUCACCUUCCCACUGAGGAAGAUGUGCUUCUAACAUUAGUGCUCCGUAGCUGUCGGAAUCCAUUCCCUGCUUUUCUCCCAGGGUUGUUUGCAGUCUCACAUGUAGCAGUUGAAUAUUAGCUUCAAUUUACCCGACGUCAGCGUACAAUCAGAGAAACAAAUAUCACACUUUGUGUCCUAAAGUCUCUCUUUAAUUGUUACUAUCCUUGGAACCUGUACUUUAGCCUGCUCCAAGCUGAAUACUGUACCUUGCAAGGUAUCCCUCUUGAUUGAGGAGCAGCAACAGCAGCAAGAGCAGGAGGAAGAAUCUCCUGCUGAGUGCUGGAAGGCAGAAAGAUAGGUUAUUGGAAGACACGCUAAAGAGAUACUGAAAUAAAAAUCUUGCUGCUCUGAGAAGGGUAAGC